CAGUCGCCACGGUAACACAGAGGGUGCGAGCGUUAAUCGGAUUUACUGGGCGUAAAGCGUGCGUAGGCGGCUUUUUAAGUCGGAUGUGAAAUCCCUGAGCUUAACUUAGGAAUUGCAUUCGAUACUGGGAAGCUAGAGUAUGGGAGAGGAUGGUAGAAUUCCAGGUGUAGCGGUGAAAUGCGUAGAGAUCUGGAGGAAUACCGAUGGCGAAGGCAGCCAUCUGGCCUAAUACUGACGCUGAGGUACGAAAGCAUGGGGAGCAAACAGGAUUAGAUACCCCCGUAGUCCCUGUCUCUUAUAA
rnacentral:rRNA from 1 species